rnacentral:lncRNA from 1 species
GGACGGGGGAGCGCGCCCGCCUUUUCGGCGGGAAACCGCUCCCGGGCUCAAUGCGCGUGCGCAGUGGCGAGAGCCGAGCUGAGGGAAGCUUCGGCUGUUCCCGGCAGGUUCCGGAGACGAGAGUCUCGCUGCUCCCCGCCCUCAUCCCUUCGGGUAUCUCCGCCCCCGCUUCGCCUAUCUCCGCCCCCGCUUCGGCUAUCACCGCCUCUCUUCGUUAAGUUCCGCCGCCACUUCGGCAACUUCCGCCGGUUCGGUCGGAAAUGGCCGAAGACGUGCGAGACCCAGCGGUUUAAGGGGAGAAGACCGGCCGGCUUCUCGGAAUAAACCAACUGUGUCCGGCCCGUGGGGGGGGGAGCAGGGGAGGGCGGACGGAGCGGGAAGACGAGACAGCGGCUAUGGCUCCCCCCCCAGCCACUCGCGGCUCCGCCGGGAGGGCGAAGUGAGGGCGCCGAGAGGCUCCAGACAGAUGAGUAGAGAGCUGGCUGCAGAAGAGGGACAGAUUCCAGCUUGCCAGCUGCUCACCGUGUGCAGUGAGUACCUUCAUAUUUCAGGAAUAAAACUUUCUGUGGUGCCUGAUGUCAGCCUCAAACUGCCUCCAUUGGGGCACAGCAUUAAGUCUGCAUGCUUGGACAGUGUUCUCCUAAAAGUACAAGCUUCCUUGGCUUAACUCUUGUUUUGGGAGAAGCUGUGCUCCAGUUUUACCUAAAGUGGUAAAUUGUGUCCUCAUCCCACUUGCAGUAGUGGCAGAGCAGAGAACGGCUGCAGUUCUGCUCAGGGCUGUGGGGAAUCAGCUCUAAAGGUGUCACCUGAGGCUUCCUGUGUGGAUCAGGAGUGGAAAUGCUCCCCAGAGCUCUUCCAGCCUUGUUGGAGGUGCUGGAGCUGAGUGAGGAGGGUGCAUGAGGUUCCUGCCACGGCACAUGCCGGCGUUGCUCAUGAAUGAGUGCUGUGAAAUCAGCCCAAAUGAGGCUUGGCUGGACUGGUGGGUGGAAAACAGCAGGAAUAAACCACUGGAAAGCAUUGGCCA